rnacentral:rRNA from 1 species
CACCGCGGUUAUACGAGAGACCCUAGUUGAUAGACUCCGGCGUAAAGCGUGGUUAAGGAAUAUUUACACUAAAGCCGAAUGCCCUCAAGGCUGUUAUACGCACCCGAAGGAGAGAAGUUCAUUAACGAAAGUAGCUUUAUUAUACCUGACCCCACGAAAGCUAAGAAA